rnacentral:rRNA from 1 species
GAUGAACGCUGGCGGCGUGCUUAACACAUGCAAGUCGAACGAAGCACUUUAUUUGAUUUCCUUCGGGACUGAUUAUUUUGUGACUGAGUGGCGGACGGGUGAGUAACGUGUGGGUAACCUGCCUUGUACAGGGGGAUAACAGUUGGAAACGGCUGCUAAUACCCCAUAUGCGCACAGCAUCGCAUGAUGCAGUGCGAAAAACUCCGGAGGGAUACGAUGGACCCGCGUUGGAUUAGCUAGUUGGUGAGGUAACGGCCCACCAAGGCGACGAUCCAUAGCCGACCUGAGAGGGUGACCGGCCACAUUGGGACUGAGACACGGCCCAAACUCCUACGGGAGGCAGCAGUGGGGAAUAUUGCACAAUGGGCGAAAGCCUGAUGCAGCGACGCCGCGUGAGCGAAGAAGUAUUUCGGUAUGUAAAGCUCUAUCAGCAGGGAAGAUAAUGACGGUACCUAACUAAGAAGCACCGGCUAGAUACGUG